AGGAAUGUUUGUAUUUUGAUUAUGGCUUAUUGGUUUAUGCUAUAAGUGUACCAAGUCAUCAAGCCUGGUUACCUCUGAGCCUUGAGGCUUGAUGGGAUAAAUUGUAAUCUCAAGUUCAGUUUUCUCUGGUCCCUUCCAGUUAUUUAUCAACUACUGAUUUGCACAAGACAGGGUUAUACCAAUGGUUGCUUUGAAUAUAGCUAUUUGUUCAGAUUCCAUGGCUCAUGGAAAUAAAAGAUCAAGGCUUUUGAGUAGCAGAUGAUUAGAUACUUAAAGCCAUGAAGGUUUAGCUUGUCACCAUCAAACACUAGAGAAAAACCACCAGUUUGAUAGUUGGUAAGCAAUACGCUUGCAAGACCCUGAACCAACCACCACAACUAAGCAAUAUGCAUGCAACUCCAUUUGAGCUCUCAUUCUGCCUUCAGUUUGAUAGUUGGUAACAUUUCAUUCCCCUCAUGUCUUCA